UACGGGGGGGCAAGCGUUGUUCGGAAUUACUGGGCGUAAAGGCUCGUAGGCGGCCAACUAAGUCGGACGUGAAAUCCCUCGGCUUAACCGGGAACUGCGUCCGAUACUGGAUGGCUUGAGUGUGGGAGAGGAUGCGGAAUUCCAGGUGUAGCGGUGAAAUGCGUAGAUAUCUGGAGGAACACCGGUGGCGAAGGCGGCAUCCUGGACCACGACUGACGCUGAGGAGCGAAGCCAGGGAGCAAACGGG
rnacentral:rRNA from 1 species